rnacentral:rRNA from 1 species
AGCAGCCGCCGCGGGAAUACGUAGGGUGCGAGCGUUAAUCGGAAUUACUGGGCGUAAAGCGUGCGCAGGCGGUUUGUUAAGACAGAUGUGAAAUCCCCGGGCUUAACCUGGGAACUGCAUUUGUGACUGGCCGGCUAGAGUAUGGCAGAGGGAGGUGGAAUUCCACGUGUAGCAGUGAAAUGCGUAGAUAUGUGGAGGAAUACCGAUGGCGAAGGCAGCCCCCUGGGAUAACACUGACGCUCAUGCACGAAAGCGUGGGGGAGCAAACAGGAUUAGAUACCCCUGUAGUCCCUGUCUCUUAUA